AUGGGGGAGGGGGCGCGGCGGGGGCCUUGCCGCCCGCGCACUCGGAGGCGAGCCGGCUCCGCGGUGGCGAGGAAGGACCGGCGUCCUCCCGCCCUCCGCAGCCCGGGACGCCCGCGCCGCCGCCGCUCGGCCGAGCUGCCACCCUGCGGCCACCACCCACCCCGCCCCCGGCCUGCAAGGCGGGCGGCCCCCGGGGGCUGUCACCUCGAGGCGCGCCGCGUUCCCCGAUGGCGGGACGGUAGUGCCGGACCCAGGGGAGGGUGGUGGCGCGAGCGGGCGGGCGGCCGCACCUGCUUCGCGUCGUCCGUCCGUCCGUCCGUCCCUUCCCGGGCCGCCGGGGGCGGUGGCGCGGCGCGCUCGGCGGGGCGCGCUGACGGGCGGCCGGUCCUCUCCCCCUUCGCUCCUCUGCCUACCUCGCUCGCUCCUUCCCUCCCUCCCUCCAGCUCGCCCCUUCCCCCUCCUCGACCCUGGCCCCUGACUCACCAGAACGGGCGGUGCGGACGGCGCGGCUCUGGGCGCCCGCAGGCCCCGGCCGGGCUGGAAUCCGGCGGCUGGAACCCCCCGGGGGCGCUCAAUUCCCGGGCUCCACGCUGCUGCGUCAGCGCCUCCUCCUGGGGGCCGGGGCCGGGCGGGCGGAGCGGGGACCGCGGCCGGGCGGGGCCGUCGGGGGGGGCGGGUACGCCUGGCCGGGGCGGGCGGACGGCGGGGGCCGGACGGGCGGGGCAGGCAGCCGGACGGGCGGGCGGCGGGGGCCGGGCUCCGGGAUCCGCUACGCCGCUCGCGGUUCCCCCACAAACUCCCCGAGAGCGGAGCCUCCGCCGCCCUCCUUCCUGCUUCCUCGUCCCCAGCCAAUCAGCAGCGCGCCCCUCGGCCAGCUCCUCCAAUCAGCCACCCCGCCCUGCGCUGGCUCCGCCAGCCAAUCCGGCCCUCGGCUCCCCCUCCCGGUCUCCGACCAAUCAGAACCGUGGGUCGGUCGUCCCAACGCAGGGGGCAGCACGAGGCGGCCGGGGGAGGCGGUGCGGGGAGUGGUGGGGCCUGGGGGGGAGGGGUGCGGUGCCAAGGGUGGUGGCAAGGGGUGAUUUUCUUUGCGGGCUUCUUGGAUUUUUCUCUUCGUCUUCAGAACCUGAGCCAGUAUCCCACGGUGACUCGACCCCAAUCCCCCAGCUGCUAGCCCCCCCCCGGAAAAAUCUUAUCUCCCCCCCCGCCCUGGCCGUAACCCCUCCACAUCCUCUUUCCCCUAUAUCCUCCUCAGCACGCGCAGGAGAAAACUGCGGGCCGAGGAACACCCCACCCUCGCCGAAGGCUGCUGCCCCCAGGGCAAAGCUUCGGGAAGACCAGUCGAAAAUCAGCGAGAACAGCCCCCCUUUCCUGCAGAAAGGGCCCCAGACUCCAGCCAAAGGGCCCCGACUGCUGAGAAGCCCCUCCCGCCCUUGCCUCAUCUUUCCGACUUCCCUGCCUGCCACGUCUCCUUUCCUUUCCAGCAAGGUCGGUCCUGGCUCGGUAACCCCUCACCCGCAUCUCUUUUUCCUCUUUCUGCCCUUCACCUACCGCCCCCAACCCCAGCUCCUCAUUCACCCUCUUCAGAAGCAGAGUGUGGAGCCCUCAUCCAUUUCCAGCUGA
rnacentral:lncRNA from 1 species